rnacentral:rRNA from 1 species
AGCGCCGUUGAUACUGUGGAGGCUAGGAUUUCGAUGCUGUGGGCGGAAUGUGUGGUGUAGCGGUGAAAUGCUUAGAGAUCACCACAGAAUAUCGAUUGCGAAGGCAGCUCACAAAAGCCAAGAUUGACGCUGAGGCACGAAAGUGUGGGGAUCAAACAGGAUUAGAUACCUGGUAGUCACACUGUAAACGAUGAUAACUCGCUGUCGGCGAUAGACCGUCGGUGGCCAAGCGAAAGCGAUAAGUUAUCCACUGGGGAGUACGACCGCAAGGUUGAAACUCAAAGGAAUUGACGGGGGCCCGCACAAGCGGAGGAACAUGUGGUUUAAUUCGAUGAUACGCGAGGAACCUUACCCGGGCUCGAACGGUGCAUGAAUGUUCAAGAGAUUGGACAGUCCUUCGGGACAUGUAUCGAGGUGCUGCAUGGUUGUCGUCAGCUCGUGCCGUGAGGUGUCGGCUUAAGUGCCAUAACGAGCGCAACCCUUGUCAUUAGUUACCAUCAGGUCAAGCUGGGGACUCUAGUGAGACUGCCACCGUAAGGUGUGAGGAAGGGGGGGAUGACGUCAAAUCAGCACGGCCCUUAUGUCCGGGGCGACACACGUGUUACAAUGGGAGGUACAGAGAGCAGCCAGUUAGUGAUAACGCGCCAAUCUCAAAAACCUUUCUCAGUUCGGAUUGGAGUCUGCAACUCGA